GUAGGGAUGUAGCUCAGUGGCAAAGCUCUUGUCUAGUAUGCGUGAGGCACUGGGUUCAAUCCUCAGCACUACA
rnacentral:tRNA from 1 species